UACGGGGGGAGCAAGCGUUGUUCGGAUUUACUGGGCGUAAAGGGCGCGUAGGCGGCGCAACAAGUCACUUGUGAAAUCUCCGGGCUUAACUCGGAGCGGCCAAGUGAUACUGUCGUGCUAGAGUGCGGAAGGGGCAACUGGAAUUCUCGGUGUAGCGGUGAAAUGCGUAGAUAUCGAGAGGAACACCUGCGGCGAAGGCGGGUUGCUGGGCCGACACUGACGCUCAGGCACGAAAGCGUGGGGAGCAAACAGG
rnacentral:rRNA from 1 species